UAUCGCUCUGCUAACUUUGCAAUGUGUUCUUUUGUCUAAGCAAGCUAACGUUAGCUGCUCUCCAACUGCAUGAAAGGUGGACCUGAAGGAGCUAAGUGUAGGCUCGCCUGGAUCACUUUCACACAUUUUAUGAUUACGGCAAAUAUUACAGCGAGCCUACAGAGGAAAAAGUGAAGACGUUCAUGAUUCACAAAGAAAAAAGUCAGAAAACACAUA